rnacentral:rRNA from 1 species
UACCAGCACCCCGAGUGGUCGGGACGAUUAUUGGGCCUAAAGCAUCCGUAGCCGGUUCUGCAAGUCCCCCGUUAAAUCCAGCUGCUCAACAGAUGGGCCGCGGAGGAUACUACAGAGCUAGGAGGCAGGAGAGGCAAGCGGUACUCAGUGGGUAGGGGUGAAAUCCGUUGAUCCAUUGAAGACCACCAGUGGCGAAGGCGGCUUGCCAGAAUGCGCUCGACGGUGAGGGAUGAAAGCUGGGGGAGCAAACCGG